rnacentral:rRNA from 1 species
CCUACGGGAGGCAGCAGUGAGGAAUAUUGGUCAAUGGACGAGAGUCUGAACCAGCCAAGUAGCGUGAAGGAUGACUGCCCUAUGGGUUGUAAACUUCUUUUAUAAAGGAAUAAAACGAGGCACGUGUGCCUUUUUGCAUGUACUUUAUGAAUAAGGAUCGGCUAACUCCGUGCCAGCAGCCGCGGUAAUACGGAGGAUCCGAGCGUUAUCCGGAUUUAUUGGGGUUAAAGGGAGCGUAGAUGGGUUGUUAAGUCAGUUGCGAAAGUUUGCGGCUCAACCGUAAAAUUGCAAUUGAUACUGGCAGUCUUGAGUACAGUUGAGGUAAGCGGAAUUCGUGGUGUAGCGGUGAAAUGCUUAGAUAUCACGAAGAACCCCGAUUGCGAAGGCAGCUUACUAAACUGUGACUGACAUUGAUGCUCGAAAGUGUGGGUAUCAAACAGGAUUAGAUACCCUAGUAGUC